rnacentral:rRNA from 1 species
UACGUAGGGGGCAAGCGUUGUCCGGAAUCAUUGGGCGUAAAGCGCGCGUAGGUGGCCCGGUAAGUCCGCUGUAAAAGUCCAGGGCUCAACCCUGGAAAGCCGGUGGAUACUGUCGGGCUCGAGUCCGGAAGAGGCGAGUGGAAUUCCUGGUGUAGCGGUGGAAUGCGCAGAUAUCAGGAGGAACACCGAUGGCGAAGGCGGCUCGCUGGGACGGUACUGACACUGAGGCGCGAAAGCGUGGGGAGCGAACAGG